rnacentral:rRNA from 1 species
CCUACGGGUGGCAGCAGUGGGGAAUAUUGGGCAAUGGGCGCAAGCCUGACCCUGCAACGCCGCGUGAAGGAAGAAGGCCCUCGGGUUGUAAACUUCUUUUAUCAGGGACGAAACAAAUGACGGUACCUGAUGAAUAAGCCACGGCUAAAUACGUGCCAGCAGCCGCGGUAAUACGUAGGUGGCAAGCGUUAUCCGGAUUUACUGGGGGUAAAGGGCGUGUAGGCGGGAGAGCAAGUCAGACGGGAAAGUACAGGGCUCAACCCUGGAACUGCGUUGGAAACUGUUCUUCUUGAGUGAUGGAGAGGCAGGCGGAAUUCCGUGGGUAGCGGUGAAAUGCGUAGAUAGACGGAGGAACACCAGGGGCGAAGGCGGCCUGCUGGACAUUAACUGACGCUGAGGCGCGAAAGCGUGGGGAGCAAACAGGAUUAGAUACCCCUGUAGUC